rnacentral:rRNA from 1 species
ACGAGUGGCGGACGGGUGAGUAACGCGUAGGAAUCUGCCCAAUAGUGGGGGACAACCCGGAGAAAUCCGGGCUAAUACCGCAUACGCCCUACGGGGGAAAGGAGGGGAUCUCUUCGGAGACCUUUCGCUAUUGGAUGAGCCUGCGUCGGAUUAGCUUGUUGGUAGGGUAACGGCCUACCAAGGCGACGAUCCGUAGCUGGUCUGAGAGGACGAUCAGCCACACUGGGACUGAGACACGGCCCAG